GAGAGCCGUAGCGUUGCCAUUGGUGGAGAAUGAUACCAGAAAUAUAUUUAAAAAGAAUGAAAGCAGCAGUCUUGGACCCAGAGAUGGACACUACGUGAUGGAGAUGACGCACCAACCAGCUCUUCUGGGCUCCCUGGAGGGAGCUCUUGCCCACCCUAGAUCACUCCCCUACCUGCGAACUGCUCUGUGAGAGAGAAAUAAACGUCUAUCUUAUUGA